rnacentral:rRNA from 1 species
ACAUGGCAAGUCGUACGAGAGUUUUUAACUCAAGUGGCGGACGGGUGAGUANAANGNNNNGAAUUUGCCUUUAGGAGGGGGACAACAACUGGNAAAGGUUGCUAAUACCCCAUAUGCUUUCGAGUGAAAUGGUUUUUCCGCCUAAAGAAAAGCUUGCGGCUGAUUAGCUUGUUGGUAAGGUAAUGGCUUACCAAGGCGACGAUCAGUAUCUGGUUUGAGAGGACGAUCAGACACACUGGAACUGAGACACGGUCCAGACUCCUACGGGAGGCAGCAGUGGGGAAUUUUCCGCAAUGGGCGAAAGCCUGACGGAGCAAUACCGCGUGAGGGAUGAAUGCCUAUGGGUUGUAAACCUCUUUUUUCAGGGAGGAAUAAAAUGACGUGUACCUGAAGAAUAAGCAUCGGCUAACUCCGUGCCAGCAGCCGCGGUAAGACGGAGGAUGCAAGUGUUAUCCGGAAUCACUGGGCGUAAAGCGUCUGUAGGUGGUUUAAUAAGUCAACUGUUAAAUCUUGAGGCUCAACCUCGAAACCGCAGUCGAAACUAUUAGACUAGAGUAUAGUAGGGGUAAAGGGAAUUUCCAGUGGAGCGGUGAAAUGCGUAGAGAUUGGAAAGAACACCGAUGGCGAAGGCACUUUACUGGGCUAUUACUAACACUGAGAGACGAAAGCUAGGGUAGCAAAUGGGAUUAGAUACCCCAGUAGUCCUAGCCGUAAACAAUGGAUACUAGAUGUUGAACAGAUCGACCUGUGCAGUAUUAAAGCUAACGCGUUAAGUAUCCCGCCUGGGAAGUAUGCUCGCAAGAGUGAAACUCAAAGGAAUUGACGGG